rnacentral:tRNA from 1 species
CGCGCCGUAGCAAAGCCUGGUUAUGCAUCGGAUUGCAAAUCCGAAUACACUGGUUCGAAUCCAGUCGGCGCGU